CAGAAAGACACAAAGUUAAGUCAGUUUACGACUCUGAGAAUGCAUGAGAAUGGACAUCCUGAUUUUAAUGUUGAGGACUCGGAUCCGGGCGACUCGUCGGAUGACUCUGAUUCCGACAGUGAUGAAUAUGCCGAGGAAGAAGCGGUUGACAUUGAGACGGCAGAGGAGAGGAGACAGGGCAUCACCAUAACUCAGAUGAGGGCCACUGUCAAACACACACACACAGUAAGACUAGAGUGUGUUUGUAUAGGUGCGUGUGUGUUUGGCUAUUUACAUUUAGCAGUAUGAUUUGCGUGAGAAUGUCUCCACAGACAAAACAGUCAGGAUGGUGAAACGGCACCAAAGGAAACGGUAAGGCUUCUCCCAGCCGUUCAUUAUAACCGCAGAGCCAUCUUGUUUUGUAGAUUCAUAGCUGUCAUGAAUGGCAAAAAUAAAAUGCUUUAGAGGUCUCGGAAUACCCAAUAGAAUGCUCAAUGGCGCUUAACCUUUGGCCCCUGUGCCAUGCAGCGUCAGAGGGAAAAGAGCGAGAGGGAGGGGGGUCUGGCGAGGGAAGGGCUCGUAAGAACCGUACCCUGGCGAAGAGGUUGCGUCGCGGCGAGCACCAGAAACUCUUCACCAGACUCAAACAGGUGCUGUUUAUGGAAGAACUGGACCCCAACGUCAAGGUCGCCAAGAUUCACCUCCUUUCACAAGCUCUGAAGGAGAUUCGUACCCAGUCAGUGGACUCUGAGUCUCUGGAGGAGAAGAAAAAAGGAUGCUGACUGAGAUCUAGUCUGUCUAUGUCAAGGAGAUUACAUUACAUUUCUGGGAAGCCAAAGGAGCUGAUCAAGGCCAAGCUGAAGGAGAUCUGGGAGAAGAAGAGAGCUCUGGCUGCCCAGAGCAGAGCAAAUGUGCCCUCUACCUCUAUCCAUAUCUCCUCCACCUGCCAGCUCUCAUCCACCGCCUUCACCCCUAGUCCCAACACCCUGACAGGUUAUAACAACCUGUUUCCUAUAUGUCUGACAACAGCAGGAAGGGCAUCCCUGAGCCAGAGCCGGAGAUGCAAGUCGACGUGACUCGCUUUCUGACUGGAGUGGUGCCAGCAGGCAGACUGAGAGCCAGGAAGAAACAACCAGCCAGUUGUCUCAGGCUAGCUCUCUGGGUCAGGCAGGGGCAGCUAGGGGCUCUGUGAAACCAGUGGCUGCUGUUCUACGCACCGAAAGCGGCAAGAUCAUACUACCUGCUUCCACACCAGCAGGCAGAGCGGUCUGCACAGUGACGGUUACGAAGAGACCAUCAACAGCCACCUCCCUCUCCAACACCACCUCAGCAGCCAAGGAGGCUGUGGAGAAGGAGAGCGCUGAGGAAAAGGAGUGUACACACUGGAUUAUCCGCCCCUCUCGCUGACCCCUAGCCCACAAUGCUCUGCGUCUGCCACUGACCCUGAGAAGAAGGACCAGGGUAGAGUGUCUGGGGAGGCUGAACAGUCCUCAGACAGCCCAGCAGAGAGGCCAGAGAUAGAGGACCUGAGCCCUAGGACCAUGCCUCAGGACUAC